rnacentral:rRNA from 1 species
CCUACGGGGGGCUGCAGUGGGGAAUAUUGGACAAUGGGCGAAAGCCUGAUCCAGCCAUGCCGCGUGUGUGAAGAAGGCCUUCGGGUUGUAAAGCACUUUCAGUGGGGAAGAAAGCCUUGGGGCUAAUACCCUCGAGGAAGGACAUCACCCACAGAAGAAGCACCGGCUAACUCCGUGCCAGCAGCCGCGGUAAUACGGGGGUGCGAGCGUUAAUCGGAAUUACUGGGCGUAAAGCGCGCGUAGGCGGUCUGAUAAGCCGGUUGUGAAAGCCCCGGGCUCAACCUGGGAACGGCAUCCGGAACUGUCAGGCUAGAGUGCAGGAGAGGAAGGUAGAAUUCCCGGUGUAGCGGUGAAAUGCGUAGAGAUCGGGAGGAAUACCAGUGGCGAAGGCGGCCUUCUGGACUGACACUGACGCUGAGGUGCGAAAGCGUGGGUAGCAAACAGGAUUAGAUACCCCGGUAGUC